UACGUAGGGGGCUAGCGUUGUCCGGAUUUAUUGGGCGUAAAGAGCGUGUAGGCGGCCAGGUAGGUCCGGUGUGAAAACUCGAGGCUUAACCUCGAGAUGUCAUCGGAAACCAUCUGGCUAGAGUCCGGAAGAGGAAAGUGGAAUUCCUGGUGUAGCGGUGAAAUGCGCAGAUAUCAGGAAGAACACCGGUGGCGAAGGCGGGUCUCUGGGCCGAUACUGACGCUGAGGCGCGAAAGCUAGGGGAGCAAACGGG
rnacentral:rRNA from 1 species